rnacentral:rRNA from 1 species
UGGCGGACGGGUGAGUAAUGUCUGGGAAACUGCCUGAUGGAGGGGGAUAACUACUGGAAACGGUAGCUAAUACCGCAUAACGUCGAAAGACCAAAGAGGGGGACCUUCGGGCCUCUUGCCAUCGGAUGUGCCCAGAUGGGAUUAGCUUGUUGGUGGGGUAAUGGCUCACCAAGGCGACGAUCCCUAGCUGGUCUGAGAGGAUGACCAGCCACACUGGAGCUGAGACACGGUCCAGACUCCUACGGGAGGCAGCAUG